AGAGACAGCAGUCGCCACGGUAAUACAGAGGGUGCGAGCGUUAAUCGGAUUUACUGGGCGUAAAGCGUGCGUAGGCGGCUUCUUAAGUCGGAUGUGAAAUCCCUGAGCUUAACUUAGGAAUUGCAUUCGAUACUGGGAAGCUAGAGUAUGGGAGAGGAUGGUAGAAUUCCAGGUGUAGCGGUGAAAUGCGUAGAGAUCUGGAGGAAUACCGAUGGCGAAGGCAGCCAUCUGGCCUAAUACUGACGCUGAGGUACGAAAGCAUGGGGAGCAAACAGGAUUAGAUACCCCUGUAGUCCCUGUCUCUUAUAC
rnacentral:rRNA from 1 species